AUGGACAUGAGGGCCCUUGCUCACCUCCUUGGGCUCCUGCUGCUCUGUCUUCCAGGUGCCAGAUGUGAUAUCCAGAUUACCCAGUCUCCAUCCUCUCUGUCUGCAUCUCUGGGAGAGAGAGUCACUCUCACUUGCAGGUCCAGUCAGGACAUUUACAAUAAUUUAAACUGGUAUCAGCAGAAACCAGGGAAUGCUCCUAAACUCUUAAUCUAUACGACAUCCAACUUGCACACAGGAGUCCCAUCAAGGUUCAGUGGCAGUAGGUCUGGGACAGAUUAUUCCCUCACCAUCAGCAACAUGGAGCCUGAAGAUAUUGCAACAUAUUACUGUCUACAGCAUGAUGAGUUUCCUCCCACAGUGAUACAAGUCAUAACAUAA